rnacentral:rRNA from 1 species
UCUGACCUCGAAUCAG